UGGGGAAUAUUGCACAAUGGGCGCAAGCCUGAUGCAGCAACGCCGCGUGAACGAUGAAGGUCUUCGGAUCGUAAAGUUCUGUUGCAGGGGAAGAUAAUGACGGUACCCUGUGAGGAAGCCCCGGCUAACUACGUGCCAGCAGCCGCGGUAAUACGUAGGGGGCUAGCGUUAUCCGGAUUUACUGGGCGUAAAGGGUGCGUAGGUGGUCUUUCAAGUCGGUGGUUAAAGGCUACGGCUCAACCGUAGUUAGCCUCCGAAACUGGAAGACUUGAGUGCAGGAGAGGAAAGUGGAAUUCCCAGUGUAGCGGUGAAAUGCGUAGAUAUUGGGAGGAACACCGGUGGCGAAAGCGGCUUUUUGGCCUGCAACUGACACUGAGGCGCGAAAGCGUGGGGAGCAAACAGG
rnacentral:rRNA from 1 species